UACCUGCAACUAGUAUUCACUCAAACUUGAAGCGAAACAGGCGUUGCCGGCAUGGCCAAGACAAGAGUAACUGCAGAAGAAAGUGGAAACCUGUUGUUUUUGUUGCUUCUGCCCUGGCUUAUAUGAAUCCAGAGUCAAAGUAACUCGCGAAGCGCCAUUUUGCUGCGAAUAAGUUAUUCUAUUCUCUAUGGAAAAUAAUCAAGAAACAUUUAACGAAAUUCUGGUACGCAUAAACUGCUGAAACCUCUGAAGCCGAAGAAGGUCCAUAUUAAAUAAGGAUGUUGCAGUAAUUUAAUUGAUGGAAUGUACAAGUAAAUACCAUAGGUAUAAUUAAAAAAUUGAACAUGGAAUAUGGAUAUCCAAUGAAAAUAAACAAGUUUUGUUAAAAAAUUGUUA